CCUCAUGGCUAGUUCGUGGAACGAAGAGCACAGUGGGUGAACCAACAACACGACUGCGAGGCGAUCAGACAUGAUUCUCUGGGUCGUCCUUUCCGCGUGUAUCGUCAUGGUAACGAUGUUUACCAAGUGGUUGAUAGGGAAACAGACUGUGGGCAACUAUGGUGACAGAUAUGUUCUGAUAACCGGCUGCAACAGUGGCUUUGGGAACCUUCUGGCCAAACGUCUUGACUCUCUUGGCUUCAACGUGUUUGCUGCCUGCCAUAGCGAUAACGGUGUAGAUGAACUCAACGCCGCGACGUCAAAGCGACUUGUGACCUUAAAGCUGGAAAUUGCUGAUGAGAGCAGUAUACGCAGUGCUGUGGAGUUUGUCAAGUCAAGGAUUCCUGAUGGUACAGGUCUAUGGGCACUCAUCAACAACGCCGGCACAGCUGCCUCUCUCGGACCCGUUGAUUGGCUGGAGCGACAAGAUUACGCAAGCGCACUUGACGUCAAUCUUCUCGGUCUCGUUGACAUCACAAGGUCGUUUCUACCACUGUUGCGUGAAGGUCAAGGUCGAGUUGUCAACAUGUCGAGUAUUCUGACCAAAGUUGGUAUGGGGCCAUCACCAUAUGUGGUAUCGAAAUACGCAGUGGAAGGAUUUUCCGACUGUCUCAGGCUUGAGCUGUUCCGUCAGGGAGUGUCUGUUAUCGUUCUUCAACCAGGCUUCUACAGAACCAACUUUCUACCAGUGGAGACGAUGGUGGUCAAAUACAAGCAGAGCUUCAGACACGCCCACCAAGAUGUCCAGACGUUCUAUGGGGAGGAGUAUUUAGAGAAGGCUUUGAAACAUUGCCACGAUAUCGACUCCAUGACGUCAUCUGACCUGUCACAGGUCACGAGGGCCUACGUGCACGCGGUGACUGCACGAUUCCCACGUGCGCGUUACAUUGUGGGUCGAGACGCUAACAUCAUGUUCCGCGUGUUGUGGAUCCUCCCGCUGUGGAUGAAGGACAGGCUACUGGCGCUACAUUACAUUAAACCAGAGGGAACACAGAAGAAUGGCCAGUCUGCAAAUGGCGGAAUACCAUCAUGAAAUAGUGGAAGGAGAGCUACCAAUAACUCUAUGUGAAUUCAAGAAAAUUCGGAUGAGUGGGCUCUGAGAAACAUGGAUGGUAGUCAGUUCCAGAUUCCAUGUCAAAUGACGACCGUUACAGUGAUGUGACGAAGAUAAAUGUCAAAGAUACCAACUGCCAUACUACCUGAUGUUAAUCCUGAAGUGGGGCUUUUACAACAGUGGAUCUUCUUUCAGGUUACGGAAAGCAGGGAGAAUAGAAGACGUAGAUUAUCCCUGCAGAAAGGAACGAUAAGUGCUGAAUGUACUCAUUCGUAACUACUCGUGUCAUUCCGGCAAGGUCAGCUGGUCACGGAAAGAGGCGAGUGGUGACGAAUGGGGACGAGUUUUCUCGGAGGUUACGGAAAAGGGCGAGUGGUGACAAAUGAACAUUAAUCACGAAUACGUUCAACUGACUGAAGCGUUACUAAAAUCUCACAGACUGAUUGUGGUCCCAUGUACUUACAUCCUGUUUCUUGAUUUCAAUUUACCAAUGCUACUGGCUACGCUACUAGGUCUAUCGUUCCAGAGGCCAUAAAUUUGAUUAUAUGGUCUCUGAUCGUUCUAAUCAGAAUGCGAGUUACAGGCUAGGGUUAAUUGUGGCGGCCCCUUCCAUUGAUAAUGAUGGAUUUAGCGAGAAAUUCAAUAUUUAAAAAGAAAGUGCACUCAAAGACCUUUUUAAUGGAACGAAUGGCUUCACGUACAACUGACAUUCGUCACCUCUCGCCGCUUUCCGUAAACUGUAAGAAUCGCCUGUUUAGUCCCGAAUCGUCCAUUGAAACUGGUGGUGGCUUUGGUUUAUAGGUGCUACGAGUUAUCUCCCUUACGUCGACGUUUGCUUGGUCGGUUAACGUUGAAACUCAAGGUCGGGUAAUUUGCCAUCCAGGGGAAUGGAUCCAGCGGUUAUGAAGUUAUAUCAGACUGCAUCCCCCGAGAUAUAGAGGAUGGUGUAUCUCAUACACGUGUUUAAAUGGUGCAGUAAGAAAAUAUCUUAUGUGAAAUACGUACUGAUAAACUUAGUAUAUCUUAUUCGUUAUAAAGUGUCUCAAGGGCCGCUGAAUUCGUUCAUUGAUGUGGAAGUUGCGGGUCAAGAUUUGUUAAUGCAAAUACAACUAGACAACGUACGGAACUCAUCAGCGUACGGCGUGGGUUAGUUUUAGUGACAAAACCGCUUCAUACGGUUGCAAGGUUGUCUUUGUGUGAUGAUUAAGGUUAGAUGCAUGUUAACUCCAUAUUUCACUAUCUAUUGAUACACAUGUUUGUAGCCAGUUAAUGCGCUUUAUUCUGACUUGUUAUUGUUAAGCCAUGAAAUGCAGUAAGUUACAUGAAACUGACUUUCAUGUCAAGAAUGUAAAGGAAGUCUACGAAUGGUCCGACGCGCCUAAACCGGAUUUUAUGAACCAUUGAGAACCUGUUAUUAUUGAACGGCUUCCGACAGAGACCGGGAUACUGAGAUUAUAGUCACGUUUAUAUUACAAAUGUACAACAAUAAAUUUUUGAUAGAGAUAUUACCUCAAUCUACGAUUUGUCUACGAUUUGUGAUGAAAGCUCUAUUUGAUGAAACUUCCAAUUGGACUGAUUAAAUCAUGUUGCAUGUUACAAUGUUUUCCAUUAAACGUCGGCAAAGUGUAUUGGUUGUUUAAAGAUAGACACAUGACGUCACAUGCAUUAGCGGGAAAGGUCAACCAAGGAUGAGGACCCUUUGUGGCCCCCAGGAUCUGCUUGAUUCAAUAAAUGAGCCCGGCAUAUAUAUAUUGCUCGGAAAGGUAUAAGACAAAUGAAGGAUAACUCGAUUAUUCAUGUUUUGGACUUAGCACCAAUCGGUAAAUUACACUUAAGACGAAAGAGUGUCAGAAAAUACGAUUUGGCAGGCGUCCGAUAAUGAUGAUUGUGAUUUUGUUCUUAACAUUUUAUUUUCAAAUUUCCUGUAGUUCAUAAUGGAUAAUAAUCCUGCCUCAAUUGAUGAUCGUAUUUCCCCCGCGGUCGGGCUUGUCGGAGGUUCUAUUUGCUUCCCCUGCGGUCGGCUUGUCCGGAUUGACAAUGUUCUAAUUGCUUCGACUGCGGUCGGGCUUGUCCGGAUUGACAAGGUUCUAAUUGCUUCGACUGCGGUCGGGCUUGUCCGAACUGACAAGAUUCUAAUUACUUCGACUGCGGUCGGGCUUGUCCGGAUUGACAAGGUUCUAAUUGCUUCGACUGCGGUCGGGCUUGUCCGGAUUGACAAGGUUCUAAUUGCUUCGACUUCGGUCGGGCUCUUCCUGAUUGACAAGGUUCUAAUUGCUUCGACUGCGGUCGUUCUUGUCCAGAUUGACAAGGUUCUAAUUGCUUUGACUUCGGUCGGGUUUGUCCGAAUUGACAAGGUUCUAAUUGCUUCCACUGCUGUCGGGCUUGUCCGGAUUGACGAGGUUCUAAUUGCUUCCGUCAGUCCCAAAACGUCAGCAUUAAUAUUCAAAUCAUCAAUGAUUUCAUACCUUGUCCCACAGAUGGCUAUUAUAUUCAACUUUUGAUAAGGACACCGAGGUCUAAUGAAAUGAGUCUCGGAGAGAUGACCACAAAUAUCCGUCUCAUGAAAAUGUCAAAUACUGUUUUUUUGGUGCGACAAGCUGUCAGUGGCAUUCAGUCCCUACAGGAACAG